rnacentral:ribozyme from 1 species
AUAUGUUGCCAUUGAACACAUGGAAGCAACCUAUGCUCAAUCUGCCUUUGUGAAUGGAAAGAAUGGUGGGCUCAUGUGCUAUGCUGAUGGCGACAUGGAUCGCCCUGUUGCUUUAGUACAGGUAUAGAUAGAGAU